rnacentral:miRNA from 1 species
UUGGGGUGUGAGACUGGAAAC